CGGAGUGUAGCGCAGCUUGGUAGCGCACGUGCUUUGGGAGCAUGGGGUCGGGGGUUCGAAUCCCUUCACUCCGACCA
rnacentral:tRNA from 1 species